UGGGGAAUAUUGCGCAAUGGGGGAAACCCUGACGCAGCGACGCCGCGUGCGGGAUGAAGGCCUUCGGGUUGUAAACCGCUUUUGAUUGGGAGCAAGCUUUCGGGUGAGUGUACCUUUCGAAUAAGCGCCGGCUAACUACGUGCCAGCAGCCGCGGUAAUACGUAGGGCGCAAGCGUUAUCCGGAAUUAUUGGGCGUAAAGAGCUUGUAGGCGGUUCGUCGCGUCUGGUGUGAAAGCCCAUCGCUUAACGGUGGGUUUGCUCCGGGUACGGGCGGGCUAGAGUGCAGUAGGGGAGACUGGAAUUCCCGGUGUAACGGUGGAAUGUGUAGAUAUCGGGAAGAACACCAAUGGCGAAGGCAGGUCUCUGGGCUGUUACUGACGCUGAGAAGCGAAAGCGUGGGGAGCGAACAGG
rnacentral:rRNA from 1 species